UACGUAGGGGGCUAGCGUUGUCCGGAAUCAUUGGGCGUAAAGCGUGCGCAGGCGGUUUUGUAAGCCAGAUGUGAAAUCCCCGGGCUUAACCUGGGAAUGGCAUUUGGGACUGCAAGGCUCGAGUGCGGCAGAGGAGACUGGAAUUCCUGGUGUAGCAGUGAAAUGCGUAGAUAUCAGGAGGAACACCGAUGGCGAAGGCAGGUCUCUGGGCUGACACUGACGCUCAUGCACGAAAGCGUGGGGAGCAAACAGG
rnacentral:rRNA from 1 species